rnacentral:rRNA from 1 species
CCUACGGGGGGCAGCAGUAGGGAAUAUUCGGCAAUGGGGGGAACCCUGACCGAGCAACGCCGCGUGAAGGAAGAAGUUAUUCGUAAUGUAAAGUUCUUUUAACAGGGAAGAAAGAGAAAUUUGACGGUACCUGAAGAAUAAGCUCCGGCUAACUACGUGCCAGCAGCCGCGGUAAUACGUCGGGAGCGAGCGUUAUACGGAAUUAUUGGGCGAAAGGGGUGCGUAGAUGGCAGAGUAAGUCUUUUGUAAAAAUGCUGGGCUAAACCCAGUAGGGCAAUAGAAACUGCAAAGCUAGAGUAUGACAGAGGUGAGUGGAACUACAUGUGUAGCGGUGAAAUGCGUAGAUAUAUGGAAGAACACCAGUGGCGAAGGCGGCUUGCUGGGUCGAUACUGACAUUGAGGCACGAAAGCGUGGGGAGCAAACAGGAUUAGAUACCCCUGUAGUC